rnacentral:rRNA from 1 species
CCCUUAGAGUUUGAUCCUGGCUCAGGACGAACGCUUGCGGCAUGCCUGAGAAAUGCAAGUCGAACGAAUCUUAGGGAGCAAUCCUUGAGGUUAGUGGCGAACGGUCGAGUAACACGUAAGCAACCUGCCCACGAGCGGGGGAUAAGCCGUCGAAAGACGGGGUAAUACCGCAUACCUUAGUUGAAGACAUCUUCCACUAAGAAAGAUUCAUCACUCGUGGAGGGGCUUGCGGCCUAUCAGCUAGUUGGUCGGGGUAACGGCCCACCAAGGCGACGACGGGUAGCUGGUCUGAGAGGACGGCCAGCCGGACUGGGACUGAGACACGGCCCAGACUCCUACGGGGGGCAGCAAUCAGGAAUCUUGCGCAAUGGGCGAAAGCCUGACGCAGCGAUGCCGCGUGGACGAUGAAGUCUUUCGGGAUGUAAAGUCCUUUUUCAGGGGAAGAUGAUGACGGUACCCUGAGAAUAAGCCCCGGCUAACUACGUGCCAGCAGCCGCGGUAAUACGUAGGGGGCGAGCGUUGUCCGGAAUUACUGGGCGUAAAGGGCGCGCAGGCGGCCGUGUAAGUCCGCUGUGAAAGACCGGGGCUCAACCCCGGGGUGUCAGCGGGGACUGCACGGCUGGAGUCCCGGAGAGGGAGGCGGAAUACCUGGUGUAGCGGUGGAAUGCGUAGAGAU